GUGUGCUCAGCCCACUGACCUUGGGCUCCAGAGGCUCACACCUGGGGCUGUGCUGCCGCACACAGAAGUAACCUGCUUUGAAAAGGAAUCACGGCAUCCAGUGUAGCACUGUUUACAACAGCGAAGAGGGGAAAACAGCCGACACACGCCACACAAAAGCCCCAGCGAGACAGGUAACCUGUGUGCCCCCUUCAGGAAUCCCAGCAUGUCCAGCCAGAGUCCCCAUGGGGUGUCGCUUCAUGUCGUCUUGGGAGAGGGAACCCCAGCACUGGGAAGAUCAUCAAAAGACACUGGCUGAUUGCUGUCGGGAAUACAAGAGCCAUUGAAGAAAAUGAACUGAGA